rnacentral:ribozyme from 1 species
CCCUUCCAUCACCUCAUCAUUCCUUUCUCCUUGCCUCCUUCGCUCCGGCCACCCCCCUCCCCUCUUCAC